GGAUUAAUGAUUCUGGAGAUUCGGAAUAACACACAGGCACUUAUAAUACAAGAUGUUCUAUCUUUACAGACAUCAGCGAUAAAGGGGUGCAGGAUCCAGAAAAGAGAAGCCAGUAGUGAACACUGACCGUGGACAACAGAUGAAACAGACAGACGAACUAUCGCAAGAAGGUGUGGAUACAACAGUACAUUGAGAGCCGAGAAGGAAGGACUGUGCUGGAGUACUAAUUCUGAACAUGGCACUAGGUCUUUCAUGAACCCAAGGAGCUGAUAUAUUUCCAGAAACCCACCCCAUGGUACAUGCUCAGAUGGGAAGGGCUUGAACCACCCAACUAGAAGCAGAACACAGACAGAUGUUUUCCUCAGGUGCUACCCCAGACGAUACUGCCAGGACCGCAAUUCAUUGUGCAGCUUGUGCUGACGGCGGCCUCACCGUACCCUGC